rnacentral:tRNA from 1 species
GUAAAUAUAGUUUAUAUAGAAUUUUUAGUUUGCAACUAAGCGGAGAAUUUUUCUCUUUACA